rnacentral:snoRNA from 1 species
AAUCUCAAAUUAUGAUCUAAUUAUUCAGACUCUAAAUGGUUUGGAUUAUGAAUAUAAUCUUGUAGUUGUCAAACUUUCUGAUCAAACUACACUCAUUUUGAUUGAUGUACAAGCUCAAUUGCUAACCUUUGAAA